UAACCUGCAGCGCCCUCAAUCACGUUCC
rnacentral:piRNA from 1 species